rnacentral:misc_RNA from 1 species
GAUGAAGAACGUAGCGAAAUGCGAUACUUGGUGUGAAUUGCAGAAUCCCGUGAACCAUCGAGUCUUUGAACGCAAGUUGCGCCCGAAGCCUCGGCUAAGGGCACGUCUGCCUGGGCGUCACGCAUCGCGUCUCCCCCAAACCGCCAAGGCGGAGGGGAAGGAAGAUGGCUUCCCGUGCCUCACCCGGGCGCGGUUGGCCUAAAUUUGGAGCCCGCGGCACUUAGCUCUCGCGGCGAUAGGUGGUGAACAAGGCCUUGGCCGUGCAAACAACCCGCUGCGAAGCUCUAUGUCACGUGCGCUCGUCGGACCCUUUGAAGUUGCCUUUGGUGACUUAAAACCUUUGCGACCCCAGGUCAGGCGGGGCUACCCGCUGAAUUUAAGCAUAUCAAUGAGCGGAGGA